CCUACGGGAGGCAGCAGUAGGGAAUAUUGCUCAAUGGGGGAAACCCUGAAGCAGCAACGCCGCGUGGAGGAUGAAGGUUUUCGGAUUGUAAACUCCUUUUGUUAGAGAAGAUAAUGACGGUAUCUAACGAAUAAGCACCGGCUAACUCCGUGCCAGCAGCCGCGGUAUUACGGAGGGUGCGAGCGGUACGCGGAAUCACUGGGCGGAAAGAGCGCGUAGGCGGGAUAGCAAGUCAGAUGUGAAAUCCCAGGGCUUAACCGUGGAACUGCAUUUGAAACUGGUAUUCUAGAGUGUGGGAGAGGAUGGUGGAAUUCCUGGUGUAGGGGUGAAAUCCGUAGA
rnacentral:rRNA from 1 species